ensembl:misc_RNA Metazoa_SRP Metazoan signal recognition particle RNA
GCCGGGCAUGGUGACCUAUGCCUGUCAUCCCAGCUACUCAGGAGGUUGAGGUGGGAGGAUCGCUUGAGCCCAGGAGUUCUAGGCUGUAAUGUACUAUGCUGAUCAGGUGUCCUCACUAAGUUCAGCAUCAAUAUGGUGACCUCCUGGGAGCGGGAGACCACCAGGUUGCCUAAGGAGGGGUGAACCUGCCUAGGUUGGAAACGGAGUAGGUCAAAACUCCCGUGCUAGUCAGUAGUGGGAUCACGCCUGUGAAUAGCCACCGCACUCCAGCCUGGGCAACAUAACAAGACUCCGUCUCCU